UACGGAGGGUGCGAGCGUUGUCCGGAAUCACUGGGCGUAAAGGGCGCGUAGGCGGCGCGGAUAGUCGGCGGUGAAAGCCCGGAGCUCAACUCCGGGUCGGCCGUCGAUACUCCCGGGCUUGAGCACUGUAGAGGCAGAUGGAAUUCCGGGUGUAGCGGUGGAAUGCGUAGAGAUCCGGAAGAACACCGGUGGCGAAGGCGGUUCUCUGGGCCUGUACUGACGCUGAGGAGCGAAAGCGUGGGGAGCGAACAGG
rnacentral:rRNA from 1 species